CGGCGUCUCUUGCGGCGACGGCGGCGUCUCUUACGGCGGCGGCGGCGUCUCUUGCCACGGACUUCGUUGAGUCCACUGCCACCAGCCCCCCCCCCCACCUCUCCCUCAUGCUCCUCCACCCCAGGCACCUCUUCCACCACCCCAGACACCCCUUCCAAGAGGAGAGCGCCAGGGAGCAGGCGAGGCAUGAGGAGAGCGAGGCAAAGUUGGCGGAAUGGUUGAGAAGAUGUGAUUCUCCACCAUUCUCUCAAAAGCUGAGAGAGAGAGUGUGUGUGUGUGUGUGUGUAUUUUUAGAUGCGUGUGUGUGUAUUUUUAGAUGUGUGGUUCAGUGUUCCUUAUUUAAAUAAAGUGUUUCUUCUAAAGUUUUCUUGUUCAUAACCGAUUAUUAUCUAAGG
ensembl:lncRNA